rnacentral:rRNA from 1 species
ACUCCUACGGGAGGCAGCAGUGGGGAAUAUUGGACAAUGGGCGCAAGCCUGAUCCAGCCAUGCCGCGUGUGUGAAGAAGGCCUUACGGUUGUAAAGCACUUUAAGCGAGGAGGAGGCUACUUUAGAUAAUACCUAGAGAUAGUGGACGUUACUCGCAGAAUAAGCACCGGCUAACUCUGUGCCAGCAGCCGCGGUAAU